rnacentral:rRNA from 1 species
UGCGUAGGCGGAAUAUUAAGUCAGUGGUGAAAUCCUGCGGCUCAACCGUAGAACUGCCAUUGAUACUGAUAUUCUUGAAUGUAGUUGAGGUAGGCGGAAUGUGUAAUGUAGCGGUGAAAUGCUUAGAUAUUACACAGAACACCGAUUGCGAAGGCAGCUUACUAAACUAUGCUUGACGCUGAUGCACGAAAGCGUGGGGAGCGAACAGGAUUAGAUACCCUGGUAGUCC